rnacentral:rRNA from 1 species
UACGGAGGAUGCGAGCGUUAUCCGGAUUUAUUGGGUUUAAAGGGUGCGUAGGCGGAUCGUUAAGUCAGUGGUCAAAUUGAGGGGCUCAACCCCUUCCCGCCAUUGAAACUGGCGAUCUUGAGUGGAAGAGGAGUAUGCGGAAUGCGUGGUGUAGCGGUGAAAUGCAUAGAUAUCACGCAGAACCCCGAUUGCGAAGGCAGCAUGCCGGCUUCCUACUGACGUUGAGGCUCGAAAGCGUGGGGAGCGAACAGG